GACGAACGCUGGCGGCGUGCCUAACACAUGCAAGUCGAACGAGGUCCAUGAGAGCUUGCUCUCAGAAGACCUAGUGGCGAACGGGUGAGUAACACGUGAGAAACCUGCCUCGGAGUGGGGAAUAACUCGGGGAAACUCGAGCUAAUACCGCAUAUCUUCACAUGAUCGCAUGGUCGAGUGAAGAAAGAAUUUCGCUCUGAGAGGGUCUCGCGGCCUAUCAGCUUGUUGGUGGGGUAACGGCCCACCAAGGCAACGACGGGUAGCUGGUUUGAGAGAACGAUCAGCCACACUGGGACUGAGACACGGCCCAGACUCCUACGGGAGGCAGCAGUGGGGAAUCUUGCGCAAUGGGCGAAAGCCUGACGCAGCAACGCCGCGUGCGGGAUGACGGCCCUCGUGGUUGUAACCGCUUUCAGCAGGGACGAAAAUGACGGUACCUGCAGAAGAAGCCCCGGCUAACUACGUAGCCAGCAGCCGCGGUAA
rnacentral:rRNA from 1 species